rnacentral:rRNA from 1 species
CUCUAAGGCGCUUGAGAGAACUCAGGAGAAGGAACUCGGCAAAUUGACACCGUAACUUCGGAAGAAGGUGUGCCUUUAGUAGGUGAACCUGUACAAGGGGAGCCCAAUGAGGUUGCAAAAAAUCGGUGGCUGCGACUGUUUAUUAAAAACACAGCACUCUGCAAACACGAAAGUGGACGUAUAGGGUGUGACGCCUGCCCGGUGCUGGAAGAUUAAAUGAUGGGGUGCAAGCUCUUGAUUGAAGUCCCAGUAAACGGCGGCCGUAACAAUAACGGUCCUAAGGUAGCGAAAUUCCUUGUCGGGUAAGUUCCGACCUGCACGAAUGGCGUAACGAUGGCCACACUGUCUCCUCCUGAGACUCAGCGAAGUUGAAAUGUUUGUGAUGAUGCAAUCUCCCCGCGGAAAGACGGAAAGACCCCAUGAACCUUUACUGUAGCUUUGUAUUGGACUUUGAACAGAUCUGUGUAGGAUAGGUGGGAGGCUUUGAAGCAGGGUCGCUAGAUUUUGUGGAGCCAACGUUGAAAUACCACCCUGGUGUGUUUGAGGUUCUAACCUAGGUCCAUUAUCUGGAUCGGGGACAGUGCAUGGUAGGCAGUUUGACUGGGGCGGUCUCCUCCCAAAGCGUAACGGAGGAGUUCGAAGGUACGCUAGUUACGGUCGGACAUCGUGACGAUAGUGCAAUGGCAUAAGCGUGCUUAACUGCGAGACUGACAAGUCGAGCAGAUGCGAAAGCAGGACAUAGUGAUCCGGUGGUUCUGUAUGGAAGGGCCAUCGCUCAACGGAUAAAAGGUACUCUGGGGAUAACAGGCUGAUACCGCCCAAGAGUUCAUAUCGACGGCGGUGUUUGGCACCUCGAUGUCGGCUCAUCUCAUCCUGGGGCUGUAGCCGGUCCCAAGGGUAUGGCUGUUCGCCAUUUAAAGAGGUACGUGAGCUGGGUUUAAAACGUCGUGAGACAGUUUGGUCCCUAUCUUCCGUGGGCGCUGCAGAUUUGAGGAAGCCUGCUCCUAGUACGAGAGGACCGGAGUGGACAUACCUCUGGUGUAUCGGUUGUCACGCCAGUGGCAUUGCCGAGUAGCUAAGUAUGGAAGAGAUAAACGCUGAAAGCAUCUAAGCGUGAAACUCGUUUCAAGAUGAGAUCUGCCGGGGCCUUGAGCCCCCUAAAGAGUCGUUCAAGACCAGGACGUUGAUAGGUCAGGUGUGGAAGCGCAGUAAUGCGUUAAGCUAACUGAUACUAAUUGCUCGUGCGGCUUGACCCC